rnacentral:lncRNA from 10 species
UACUUCGGUAGCUCAAUGAUCUUUGUUCCUAUCCAUAUUCUAAAUUCUAUUUCUGUCAUUUCAGCUAUUUCUGCCUGGUUCAGAACCCCUGCUAGAGAGGUGAUGCAGUUGUUUGGAGUUGAGUCACUCAGUCAUCGCUAAGGACUCAUUAGCUGGUUAAUGAGAAGCACUGUAUGGAGAGAAAACUGUGCGCCUGCCAACUGCCUGCCGAAGGACCUGGGCUUUAAUUUUCUUGCCAUUUCAAUCCCAAUCUUUCUUUAGGAGACUGAUGAUAAGGUUCGGAGUGGACUCUUUGUUUGAUGGCUUUCUAAUAUGGAGACAGUUCCAAGAGAGCCAGGAUUAAAUUGGCCAACUUCAUGCACAUGUGUGACCCAACCCAAAUUACAGUCCAGGUGGCUGGUGGUGAAAGCCAACUCAUUAACCUACAGUGACACCUGUUCAUCUGACACACCUUUCCUGAGCUCAAAAGGUCUAUUUCUUUUGAAAUAUUUAUGGCUCUGAAACUAAAGGUCAUUCCAUUCUUGUCUUUAACUUCACAUGAUGGUUAAAACAGACACUUAAAAUAAUAAAAUCACCUUUAAAGGCAGAGAAGAAACAUACAAAGAAGUGUCCUUUCUGUCAGGACAGAAAGAAAAUAAAAUGUGCAUAUAGCAUCCUGAAAGAAAAAUCUUAACCCAAUUUUAAGUGGGAGUUUUAUUCAAAUAUCCAAAUGACAGUUUCUAUGGCACAUCUUCAAUUUGUUCAUAGUAACCAAAUUGAACAUAUUGCCUUAUUCUGUUAUGUGUAUGUAUGUCCUCUUGGCUGCCAAACUCUGGAGAGCUCAAAACAAGUGUGCAAGCAAAACUGAAAGAGGUUAAUAUCACAAGAGAACCUGCCACUUAUAAAGGUCUUCUCUGUGUUGAUUCUCAGAGACAUGUUAAUGGUCAAUUUAAUAAAAAUAAUUUAGUAAUUUUUUGCCUGACACUUUAGAUUUAAUUUUUUAAUUAAAAUAACAUAUAAUAAACAGACAAAGAUUUUGUCAUUUUAGAUAAAGUUAGUAACUUUGGCUUUGGUUUUCCUUCUGGUUCCUCAGUGCUUUUUUGCAGUGUUUACCUAUCUGUGGUCUCAUGUCUUUCCCAUUAAUUCAUUGAAAUUGCUGUCAUCAUGUUUGUUAUUAAAUUCAAGUGACAUUUCUCAGUUCUUAACCUAUUUGACCUCUUAUUUAUCCAGCCAAAAAAUAUAUACCAAAUAGCUACUAAGUGCCAGGCACUGCAUUUAGAUGAUAGGAAUAAAUGCUGAAGUAGACAUAUAAAGUCCCUACAGUUGUGGCAUUUACAGUGGAAUAGGAGAGCUUAAUAUUAAACAGUUACAUAAACAAUUAUUCAAUUACAAUAUGAUUAAUGAUACAAAGAACAAAUAUAGCGUGCAAUAAGAGCAUAUAAAUGAAAAAUAUAAUUUAGUUGGAUAUGUCAGGGAAAUGUCCCUGAGAAAAAGACAGCUAACCUUAAUAUUAAAACUUAUUUACUCAAAAAUAAGUGUGCGAAACUGUAUAGUUAACUUAUCUUCAAUUCAGUCAAUCUAAAACAUCAACUAAAUAAUGUAUUCACAGAUAUACCACACAAUGACAGUUAGUGUUCGUAAUGAUAAUCUUGGAUGAGAAAAGAGCCUACAGGGUCUUUUAGAUCAUCACAGUUAAAUUAUACUUGGCUAAUAUAGUUUGAAUAUUUAGUACAAUUUCAUGUUCAAAACUUCUGAAACACUUUUAUUCACAUGUAGACCAUAUAAUACUUAUAUUAUAGUAGACCAUCCUAUUUCACAAUCAAAUUAUACAACAGUAUACUAAAUUAUCAUAUCAGUUUUUUGUUUCUUUAAUAGUUGCUAAUAUAUGUGUAUAGUUGUGAACAUACCUGUAUAUGUGUAUGUGAUAUGUAUAUAUAUCAACUGUAUAGUUAAAACACCACAUGUAUAGAAGAGACCAUCUGACUAGUAUUUAAGCUUAGCCAUGAGAAUGGAAUUUGGAAGAUGAAGAAUGUGACCUGGAGGAAAGAAGAAAAUGAUUACAGAGGGGCAUUUGAGAGUGAGAGGAUAGAGAAGAGAGAAAGAGGUUGAGGAAAGAAGAUAUCAGAGUCCCCUCACUGCCCUCCCCAUUAACACACUCAAGGCUAAGCUAGUGAGGGGAGAGUAUCUUUGGGAUACUGGACAAAAUAUGGAAUUCCAAGAACCAGGAAGCUUUUGUCUUAUUCUAAAAGGAUAUAACUUGCAGGCUGUCUCCAGAUCAAUUGAGUGGUAGAUCCAUAUUACAAAUAAACAUGAUAGCAGAGUGUGAUUAGGCAGAAGAAGGUGCAUCUCAGCACCUCCUUCUGUGUAAUGUGGAAAUGAGCAGCUAUUGUAGUGGGAAUGAGCAACUCCACAGUAAAGGCAUUAGGCUGUGCCAUCUGGGCAGUGGAUGACAGAGAUAUCAGUGUGUGGCUGGGGUCUGAAGCCUGUUCAGGGUCAAGAUGAGCCUAAGUCAUCCAGAAAGGCUGAUGAAAUCAGCAAAAGUCAGCCAGACAAAGGGCACUGUCAAGGCCAUCAUAUGGCUCUAAGCAUCCCUUUUCCCACCUCCUCAAGAGCACCAAGAAAGACACCAACAUCCAUUGCCAAUUUCCUUCUCCUUGCCAGUAGGGAGGCUGAAAAAAAACAGAUACUCUCUUUCUAUUAAUAUAUCUUCCUUAUAGAGUAGGAUGGAUAUUUGGCUAAGUAUUGAUCAAUAAGAUAAAGUGGAAUUUGCUGGGUGGUGGGCGGGGGUCCUUUGUGUAAUAAUUUUGUGUCUUGAUAAAGUAGGAAUAUGGCUGGGACCAUCCCUGACUCUCUUUUUUCCUUGAAUGUGAACACAUGAGUGAAGCAUACAUCCAUUGUCCAUGGGGCAAGAAACAUGAGGAUGAAAAGCCAAUAUGUUAAGGACAUGAAGUGAAAAGCGGGAAGAGCUUCUUAUUCAUGUUAUCACUGAGCAGCGGGAACUGGGGGCUCUGCUCAUUAUAGUUGCCCACGGCCUCCAGUCAAUGAAAUUUCCGGCCAAUGAAAUGCUCUACUGUGACUGAAGCAGCAAAGAGAAGAUGUUCUGCCGGAGGCCUCUCCAGAUUGUGAUGCACUGGGAGCAAGCCACCAUGAACAUAUCCUCAGGUCUCCAGUCUUCUGCCAUCGCAUGAAAAAUGGAGCUUGUCAAACACAGAGCAGAGCUGAACUUUCUGAAUUCCACAGGACAGUUCAGAGUGCUUGGAAUGACACCCACCUGCAAUUUAAACAAAAAAGAAGGAUGAUUUGCUGCUACAUUUGUGUGGGAAGUGCUGCUUGCCGAUAGGGAAGUAGGAGAGGAAAUAAGGAAAACAAUAAACCAAGUACAGUUUUGCAAAUACCCAGACACAUUGGAUGGACACAGAAGCUUUCACUGGGAGAUUAUGAAGGGUAGAUGCUUUGUGUCUCCAUUGCCUCCUGUGAUGUGACCUCACAUUACAAGCCACUGUGGUUGGAACUGCUGGCAAAAUGGAAAGAACCAGGAAGAACAUCAAAGGAGAGUUUUAAAAGGAUAUGAAAUGUAUUAAUUUGUCGUAAUUAUCUACUUUUGAUAGAAGAAUCUCAGAGGUACUUAAGUUGAUGUCUUGGACCUUCAGUCCAGUGCUGACAUCUUGUAAAAUGUCUUAAGUUCCUACCAGGUAAUUUCUGCUUUCUGUCACAAAGCAGGAGAGAAGUUCCAGGAGGAAGUCAUGUAUUUUUCUCAUCUUUAGGUAUAUUAUAUGUAUACCCCAUAUUUCCCUAUAUUAUACUUACACAUAUAUUUAUGUUACACUUUCUAUUUCUCUUAUUUACGUACAUUAUUAACAAAAAAUUUUUGGAAGAUUGUAGAAAUAAGACAUGUAGGCAUUUGAAAUUUUGUGAGAAAGAGCAUGUCAGAUUUGGGAGUUAGGGAUUUUUAGACAUUGCCAUAAGAGGUAAGUAAAUGCUGACACCUUGCCUAUAGUUAAUAAAAAUAUAUUAUACAUUUGAAGUUUUCUAAGAGAGUAGAUUUAAAAUUUUCUCACUAUACACACACACAAUAUAUAUAUAACUAUGUUAGGUGAUUAACGUUAAUUAGCUUGAUUAUGGUAAUCAUUUCACAACAUAGACAUAUAUCAAAACAUCACAUUGUAUGCUUUGAAUACAUACCAUUUUUAUUUGUCAACCAUUCCCCAAUAAAGCUGGAAAAAACAAGACUUCAUUCCUGUCAAAUCUACUUCUCAGGGACCUACUCCAAGGGAGUCGCCAUUCCUUCAUUUUAUUAUUAAAUUGCUUCUUCAUAGAAAACCUAUCUUCGGUGAAAAAAUUAGACUCCAGAAAUGAUAUUUUGCCAGAAACAUCUCUAAAAGCCUUUUUAUCUCCCUGAUGAACUCAAUGUAGCUAUGGAAAUUUGAAUUCCCUAUCUGGGGUCAGCUUCAGAAAUGUGUUUAUUUAUGUGCUUCGAAUUGACUUAUCAACUAAUGAACCAAGAAACAAUUUUUCUUUUGGCUGUGUUUUAAAAGGGUCUUGCUCAAAUUUUAAAGGUUGGGGCAUUUUAGAGUCAGAUUUGUUUCAUAAUUUUUCUAUGUAACAUAUUCACUUCCCAUUAAAAUGUAAUUUUCCCUACCAAUAAGGUGUUAGGCUUCUGAUCCCUCAGGGGAACUGUGGUUGACAUGAGCAUUACCUCAUCCAAAUGUAUGUUCCCAGUGAACCUGUCAUCGAGUGGACUUGAUGCCUUCAUUUUUUCCUUUUGUAGCAAGAUGCCUAACUGGUUACUUAUGCAAGCAUUGUUAUUGAAAUUAGGGGGAGUAAGGGGAAUAAAAAAUGUAUGGAAAUUAUGAGUGUUAGAACUGAGCACAAUCAUUGCAGCAUCUGAUGCAGACAUUUCAGGGUAAGCGAAGUAGUCUCUUCAGAAUAAAAAUGAGGGUAAUUAGACUCAAUUCAUUUAUUCAACACUUGGGUCAAGUCCAUGAACUCUACAAAGAUAACUGUGCCAUGGAUUUUGCUCUCUAGAGUGGUAAGACACGUAUAUGGUUUGUCUACUCAUUCAGCAAACACUUUCUGGGCAUGUUUUGUCUCCUGAGGUCAGCUCUGGAGAUACAAUGGUACAUGGCACAAAUCUUUGCAAGUGCUAAAUAUAAUACCUGAUAUUAAUAGGCUGUGAGUGAAGAGCACAAAAUGUGUAGUGGGUGUUCCUGGGAUACAGUAGCUCUGUGCAUGUAGAAGGGAUUAGUAAGGGCCUCGUGAAGGAGACAGCAUUUGUUCUGGGACUUGAAGGAAAGACAGGAUUGGAAAUGUAGAGAUGCUAAGGAAGGUUGUCCUCAAUAGAGAAAAUGCCAUAGCUGAAGGCCCCUCAUAUGCUAUUCUUAUCUAACUAUGUGAUUCUAAGCUCAGGUGAUCCAAAGAGGCUCCUCAGAGUUGUGGCAAACUGAAGCCAGUGGUGUAGGUUGAAAGGAAUCUGAGAGAAGAUCAACACCCAGGAGAAUCUAAGGUCCCAUUGUGGGUGAAUCAUUUUGGGCCAUGUUUCAGAACAAAAUUUCCACAGACUCACUACCAAAUACUCAUGGACUUAUAUUUUUGGUUCAGAGGUUUGAUGAAAAACUCUGGAAGCCUAUUGCAGAGAACUGAAUAAGGUAAAAAUCUACCUUUUACUGGACACAUCGUUUAGGAAGCAAAUUAGUCUCCGUUAUCAGAAAGUUCCAAGGGGGAAUCUAAAAUGUGAUACUUUGCUCAGCAGCUGACAGUAUUUUUGCUACAUUUUCAACUUGCCUUCAAUUCUGUUUAUUUCGCUUGUCUAAUUUACUAUCUAGGUAAUUUAAACAAUGAGAAUACAGUGACCCGCAAUUUUCCUAAUUUAAAGGUAUCUCUUCUGCAAUAUUAAAUUUGCAUCUACAUUGCCUGCCUAACAAGACUGUCACCUCCUUGAGGUCAAUGUGAUGUUAUCUAAUUUUUUAGAUAACAUCUAUGUCUCUAAUAGAUCUAUCUGUGCAAUAGAACCAUACAGUCCUUCGUAGAUAGGGGAAGCACAAAUGUUGGUUAAUAUUUAACAGAGUAUCAGACCUGCAUCCUUCUCUCUAAGAGCUCAAACUUCAGAGAGUAGAUUCAGAGAGUAAAUGUUUUCCCAGGCUCAGGCAAGAGGGGUGGUUUGUAUGUUAUUUCUUUCUUAUUUUCCAGUUAGACUUUUGGAAAUCUGCCAGAUGCAAUUGAAAAACCCUGCUCAGCUUUGUCCAAUGUCUCAUUUGAGGAUCAGCAUGAGUUUGUUUACUUGAGAUUAACAGGAGUCAAGGAUAUACAAAUUCAGCAAUGUAUGGAUAACUUUCCCCUUUUUAACGCUGGCCUCACCACAAAACUACCACCAUAUUGUUGAAUUUUGGAAGUUUAUUAUGCUUUAUUUUUUCCUAUAAAAAAAUAAAUGUCAUCACAUUGUAAUAGUUUUAUAACCUGUUUUAUCAUAUUUUAAAAUACAUCUUGAAUAUUCUUUCAUAUAAUUAAUCUUCUACAGCAUAAUUUUAAUAUCUAUGAAGAUUCCAUUAUGUGCUUGUAUUAUACAUUUUUACUCUGAAUACAUUAUUGUUGUAAACAAUGCUUACAAUUAUGAAAAUAAAUAUAUAUGGCUCAUUUACACAUUAUUCUAAAUCUCAUUGUACUCUCCGGUUAGUCAUCAUUAAUGUCUUGAAGUUCACUGGUUUGGCAUUUUAUGUAUAUUUAUAUCUGU